UAUAAAUAAGAAAUCAGUCAGAUUUCAACAAACACGCUUCACAAUGUGCGACAAAGAAACAUUGUUUACUCAAAUGCAUUUCGCAAUGUAUGCUUAAACAUU
rnacentral:ncRNA from 1 species